UCUCGACAGCGUAAAAGUUAACUCAAAUUUGUAUGGAGUCGGAACGUUUGCCUACGUUUGCCACUAGGGGCGCUGUUCCAAGUCCAUACAAAAUUGAGUUAACUUUUACGCUAUCGA
rnacentral:pre_miRNA from 9 species